AGUGAACGCUGGCGGCAGGCCUAACACAUGCAAGUCGAACGGCAGCACAGCAGUAGCAAUACUGCGGGUGGCGAGUGGCGGACGGGUGAGGAAUACAUCGGAAUCUGCCUUAUCGUGGGGGAUAACGUAGGGAAACUUACGCUAAUACCGCAUACGACCUACGGGUGAAAGCGGGGGAUCGCAAGACCUCGCGCGAUAAGAUGAGCCGAUGUCCGAUUAGCUAGUUGGCGGGGUAAUGGCCCACCAAGGCGACGAUCGGUAGCUGGUCUGAGAGGAUGAUCAGCCAAACUGGAACUGGGACACGGUCCAGACUCCUACGGGAGGCAGCAGUGGGGAAUAUUGGACAAUGGGCGCAAGCCUGAUCCAGCCAUGCCGCGUGGGUGAAGAAGGCCUUCGGGUUGUAAAGCCCUUUUGUCCGGAAAGAAAAGCUUCGACUUAAUACGUCGAGGUCAUGACGGUACCGGAAGAAUAAGCACCGGCUAACUUCGUGCCAGCAGCCGCUGUAACAC
rnacentral:rRNA from 1 species